rnacentral:rRNA from 1 species
CGACUGUUUAUCAAAAACAUAGUUWAUAUAAAUAAUUAUUAAUAUAACCUGCUCAAUGAAUUUUAAAUAGCCGCAGCUUAUACUGUGCUAAGGUAGCAUAAUCAUUUGUCUUUUAAUUAAAGACUAGAAUGAAAGGUUAAAUAUUUAAAUCAUUAUAAAUAAACAAUAUUUUUAACUUAUUUUAAAUGUAAAAAAACAUUUAUAUUUCAGAAAGACGACAAGACCCUAUUGAACUUUACUGAAGUUUAACUGGGGCAGUUAAUUAAUUAUAAUUUUAAUAAAUCUUUAAAAAAAAAUGACCUAAUAAAAUUAAUUAUAUGAUCAAGCUACCAUAGGGAUAACAGCGUAAUAUUUCUCUAUAGCUCUUAUAAAAAGGAAUGAUUGCGACCUCGAUGUUGAAUUAAUUAUUCUAAUAAAUGCAUCAAUUUAUAAAGAAAGUCUGUUCGACUUUUAAAAAAUUACAUGAUUUGAGUUCAGACCGGUAUAAACCAGGUCGGUUUCUAUCUU